rnacentral:rRNA from 1 species
AGAUGUAACGGGGCUAAACCAUGCACCGAAGCUGCGGCAGCGACGCUGAUGCGUUGUUGGGUAGGGGAGCGUUCUGUAAGCCUGUGAAGGUGUGCUGUGAGGCAUGCUGGAGGUAUCAGAAGUGCGAAUGCUGACAUAAGUAACGAUAAAGCGGGUGAAAAGCCCGCUCGCCGGAAGACCAAGGGUUCCUGUCCAACGUUAAUCGGGGCAGGGUGAGUCGACCCCUAAGGCGAGGCCGAAAGGCGUAGUCGAUGGGAAACAGGUUAAUAUUCCUGUACUUGGUGUUACUGCGAAGGGGGGACGGAGAAGGCUAUGUUGGCCGGGCGACGGUUGUCCCGGUUUAAGCGUGUAGGCUGGUUUUCCAGGCAAAUCCGGAAAAUCAAGGCUGAGGCGUGAUGACGAGGCACUACGGUGCUGAAGCAACAAAUGCCCUGCUUCCAGGAAAAGCCUCUAAGCAUCAGGUAACAUCAAAUCGUACCCCAAACCGACACAGGUGGUCAGGUAGAGAAUACCAAGGCGCUUGAGAGAACUCGGGUGAAGGAACUAGGCAAAAUGGUGCCGUAACUUCGGGAGAAGGCACGCUGAUAUGUAGGUGAAGUCCCUCGCGGAUGGAGCUGAAAUCAGUCGAAGAUACCAGCUGGCUGCAACUGUUUAUUAAAAACACAGCACUGUGCAAACACGAAAGUGGACGUAUACGGUGUGACGCCUGCCCGGUGCCGGAAGGUUAAUUGAUGGGGUCAGCGCAAGCGAAGCUCUUGAUCGAAGCCCCGGUAAACGGCGGCCGUAACUAUAACGGUCCUAAGGUAGCGAAAUUCCUUGUCGGGUAAGUUCCGACCUGCACGAAUGGCGUAAUGAUGGCCAGGCUGUCUCCACCCGAGACUCAGUGAAAUUGAACUCGCUGUGAAGAUGCAGUGUACCCGCGGCAAGACGGAAAGACCCCGUGAACCUUUACUAUAGCUUGACACUGAACAUUGAGCCUUGAUGUGUAGGAUAGGUGGGAGGCUUAGAAGUGUGGACGCCAGUCUGCAUGGAGCCGACCUUGAAAUACCACCCUUUAAUGUUUGAUGUUCUAACGUUGACCCGUGAUCCGGGUUGCGGACAGUGUCUGGUGGGUAGUUUGACUGGGGCGGUCUCCUCCUAAAGAGUAACGGAGGAGCACGAAGGUUGGCUAAUCCUGGUCGGACAUCAGGAGGUUAGUGCAAUGGCAUAAGCCAGCUUGACUGCGAGCGUGACGGCGCGAGCAGGUGCGAAAGCAGGUCAUAGUGAUCCGGUGGUUCUGAAUGGAAGGGCCAUCGCUCAACGGAUAAAAGGUACUCCGGGGAUAACAGGCUGAUACCGCCCAAGAGUUCAUAUCGACGGCGGUGUUUGGCACCUCGAUGUCGGCUCAUCACAUCCUGGGGCUGAAGUAGGUCCCAAGGGUAUGGCUGUUCGCCAUUUAAAGUGGUACGCGAGCUGGGUUUAGAACGUCGUGAGACAGUUCGGUCCCUAUCUGCCGUGGGCGCUGGAGAACUGAGGGGGGCUGCUCCUAGUACGAGAGGACCGGAGUGGACGCAUCACUGGUGUUCGGGUUGUCAUGCCAAUGGCACUGCCCGGUAGCUAAAUGCGGAAGAGAUAAGUGCUGAAAGCAUCUAAGCACGAAACUUGCCCCGAGAUGAGUUCUCCCUGACUCCUUGAGAGUCCUGAAGGAACGUUGAAGACGACGACGUUGAUAGGCCGGGUGUGUAAGCGCAGCGAUGCGUUGAGCUAACCGGUACUAAUGAACCGUGAGGCUUAACC